ensembl:lncRNA
GCUACAUUCUCCUGUUUUUCGGCACAUUGUUUAUUCUCCUCCAUCUCCGGGGAGGACAGAAAUCAAAGUUUACAGUUUUUUUCUUGCGUGAACUCAAAACGCGAACAUGCCCAGCAAGAGGAAGAAGAACAAGCGCCGCAUGAGAAGGGUGCAGGCCCAGAGGAGAGUCCUUGAGGAGCAGCAUUCUACUGGCGCAGGCAAAGGAACCCCAGGAGUGGCUGCCGUGGCACCCCCCCUUGAAAUAUUAAAUUGUCCCCCCCUUCUCUCACCCCCUCCAGUAGUAAAGGUCCCAGUCGUAAAGCCCCCUGAAAUAUCCAAUUGUCACCCCCUUAUUCCCCCCACUAUAGUAGUAAAGGUCCCAUUCGUACAGCCACCGGCCCCAGUCAAAGUACCAGAUCCUGAGGCUGUGGUGACGGUGGUAGAGCCUGAAGUGGUAGCAGCUGAGGUUGAAGUUGAGGCCCCAGUCGAAGCUCCAGUGGAGGUUGAAGUCGAGGCCCCAGAAGAAGUUCCAGAAGAAGUCCCAGUCGAGGCCCCAGAAGAAGUCCCAGUCGAGGCCCCAGUCGAGGCCCCAGAAGAAGUCCCAGUCGAGGCCCCAGAAGAAGUCCCAGUCGAGGCCCCAGAAAAAGUCCCAGUCGAGGCCCCAGAAGAAGUCCCAGUCGAGGCCCCAGAAGAAGUCCCAGCCGAGACCCCAGAAGAAGUCCCAGUCGAGGCCCCAGAAGAAGUCCCAGUCGAGGCCCCAGAAGAAGUCCCAGUCGAGGCCCCAGAAGAAGUCCCAGUCGAGGCCCCAGAAGAAGUCCCAGUCGAGGCCCCAGAAGAAGUCCCAGUCGAGACCCCAGAAGAAGUCCCAGUCGAGGCUCCAGAAGAAGUCCCAGUUGAGGUCCCAGUCGUAGAAGCAGAAGCUCCUGUUGAGCCCCCUACAGAAGAAACUGCAGCAGGGCAGGAAGUUGAAGAAAGCAUCAUUCCAGAGACUGAGCCAGUAACUGAGGCCAUACCCAUUCCUGAGGCCCCUGUGUCAGCUCUUGCUGAAUUUGAGGUUCAGGUCGCAAACUCCGUAGCGAUUACCACAGAGAUCGCACAGCAUGAGACUGUUAUGGCAGAGGCACCUGAAGAGGUUCCAGUGCAGACAGAAAUUAUCCCAGAAAAGCUGUGGAAGCCCGUGGAAGCACCGAUUGAAGAAGCCCCCGUAGCCAAGAUCGCUCCAGCAGAGCUCCUCGUAGAGGCCUCAGUAGACCCUGUCAUCAACACAAUGGCUGACUUUGCCAUCACAGAAUCUGUUCCCGUUGUGGAAGCAGCCAUGGCUGAGCAGGCUAAAGAGGAAAUUGGAGCCCAGAUGGAAAUCGAGGCUAAAAAGGAUGCCAUAGAUGAGAAGACGGUCCUUGACGUCAUCUCUGGAGAUUUAUCCACCCCCCACCCUGUUAUCUCAGAACUGCAGUGUCACACGCAGCUCGCCGCCCCCAAGGAAAUCCCAACAGAGGCAGUGCUGAAUGGACAGAUGGCAGCUGAGGUGGCCAUUGAGGGAUAGAUCUCUAUGGAUGUCCUCAGUCAGUAUGAAAGACUAAAGAGAGCCUGACAGUGAGCCGACCAGCGAACUUUACUUUUCAUUUUUUAGGGCUUAAAGGGACCGCUGGGAAAUUUGACAGACAUCCAACACUCAGUGCCUUUCUUGCUUGGGUUCUUACAAACAAAAUAUUAAACAAGUUUAAAAUGCGACAUGAAGGUGGGGGAAUAACACUUUUUUGUUGUUGAUCAGAAUGUGACAAUUUGGAAUAAACAAAUCAUGGCUUUCAUAGAUUUCUGUAUCCCAUUGCAUAUAUUGUGGAUUUGCCUCAAUUGUAAAUGGCAUGCAUUGUGUAUGAAUACUGUAGAAUUAAUGAAUGUGGCAAUGGCUUGUCUUCACAUGUUUGUAUGGAUGAGAGGGAUUAAUUCCUUGUACACGUUUCCUGUUUUAACCUGGUUUGAUUCCUUUUUGUGAAGGGACAGUAUGGCAGUUUGUACAGUACCAUAGCUACCCCCUCUUCUCCCUAUCCCCAUUGUGGUACUUUUGUUUUUUCAGGGACUGUAUGAUGACAGCUCCACCCUCUUUACUGUGUAGUGUCAGUGUGUCUACAGUCCCAAGUCUGUCCUGGGCAAUGUGAAAUGGUGUGUAGUUUUAGGUCCUCUGACCAGAUGCUCUUAACAUUUAAUUACCUAUGCUGCCAACUUAAAAUAGAGUAUGGGGGCCUGUAGAUCCUGUUUUUAGUUUUUCUUUUCUUUUUCUGUUUUGUAUAGACCAUAUGAUGUGGUACAACCGCUGUUUGUGUUCAGUUACGUGCUCUGGAAUUGACCAUGGAGUUGUCAUGUAAUUGAGGAGCUGGGUUGGAUUUCAUUCACCUUUUUGAAUAAAGAUGUUACUCACCAAGUUCUU